AUUGAACGCUGGCGGCAGGCCUAACACAUGCAAGUCGAGCGGAGCAGCGUACGGGCGAGUAAUUCCUAGGAAUCUGCCUGGUAGUGGGGGAUAACGUCCGGAAACGGGCGCUAAUACCGCAUACUAUCAGAUGAGCCUAGGUCGGAUUGGCUAGUUGGUGGGGUAAAGGCCUACCAAGGCGACGAUCCGUAACUGGUCUGAGAGGUGGAUCAGUCACACUGGACCGGGGACACGGCCCAGACUCCUACGGAGGGCAGCGGUGGGGAAUAUUGGACAAGGGGCGAAAGCCUGCUCCGGCCAUGCCGCGUGUGUGAAGAAGGUCUUCGGAUUGUAAAGCCCUUUAAUUUGGGAGGCGUUACCAACAGAAUAAGCACCGGCUAACUUCGUGCCAGCAGCCGCGGUAAUUC
rnacentral:rRNA from 1 species